rnacentral:lncRNA from 8 species
UUUGUUGCACCCAGCAAUUAAGUUCUUUCUACAAAUGUUAUUACAAUGUUAUGGUUUGGUACUUGUGUAACUUUGGUAUUUUGAAAUCAAGAGUCAUAUAGCACAAGGCUGGUAAGGACUGCAAUGCCGUGACAUUCAAUCAAUAAUGACAUUCUUUGGAUGGUGCGCCUAUUUCUGUAGGAAUUCUGAUAUUUCACACUCUCUUGGCUAAGAGAUUCUCUCACAUAUACAUCAGUCUCCUAUGACAUCCCCUUCCAUUCAAGUUUGUCCUACGAGACUUUAUGAAUAAGAGGCUCGGGUCUUGACCUGGGAGGAGAAGCUAGAGCUGACUAAGCAGAACAAUGCAAAACUAAGCAGAACAAUGCUGGAUUGUAUCAUACCUGGCAACGUAACUUCUCUAUUCUCUCUAGACACACCCAAGAUAGAUUUUCCAGUUCAGAGCACAAAAGAAGCAUGGGGCGUAUUUAUUGUCAUUGGCAAAUACGACAAGCACCAAAGUCUCCUCACUUCUCAGUUGAAAUAUCAGAUGUGGAUCCAUUAUGAAAGGCAGAAAUGGAUGCGUGCACAGAGUAUUAUAGCAGGACUUCUGCUGCAGGUGUGUCCAAGGGUCCAAUACAGUAAUCUGAACACGGCCCUGGAUGGUCCAAAACCUAACCUGGAAGUAUAAGGAAAUUAUCUGGGACAGAUGAUCCAAGUAAGUUAUCUGUUGGUGUCAUUCCAACCAAGAAAGUGAUCAUCCAAAGAUAAAUAGCCUAUCUCUGAAUACCUGCCUUGGACUCAUGGCAUGGAUGGAAAUGUGAUGCCUUGGAUGAACUUUUAUUUCAUCCGUGCUACAAAAGCUGGCCAAUUCAUUCAGUACAAGAAAGUUAUCUAAAACCCUAACAAUCACUGGACCCUGACAUUAGAUGAAAAAGUCGGAGUCACACUUUAUUUGGAUAGUCCCAUAUAGAUGAUCUAUAAAUGGUCAUACUUUCAACAGACUAUAUGUUGAUAAGCAACUGCUUGCUAAGUUUACAGUUAGGGUUAGGUUUACAAUAAGGUUAAUGGUUAAGGAUAGGAUUAGGGUUAAGUUUAGGGUUAGGAGGAUAAGGGUUAGUGGAUAGUUAGUUGAACUGUUGUUGACAGUUAUUGAAUAUCUACUGAACAUUCUACAAGCCAUCUACAAACCAUUACUUGGGACUAUCCAAAUAAAGUGAUACCAAAGUUGGGGUUCAUUUUGAAGCCUUUGUUGUUCUCAUCAC